rnacentral:rRNA from 1 species
UACAGAGGUCCCAAGCGUUGUUCGGAAUUACUGGGCGUAAAGCGUGCGUAGACGGCUAUCUAAGUCGGGUGUGAAAGCCCCGGGCUCAACCUGGGAAUUGCAUUCGAGACUGAAUAGCUAGGGUACGGUAGAGGGAAGUGGAAUUUCCGGUGUAGCGGUGAAAUGCGUAGAUAUCGGAAGGAACAUCAGUGGCGAAAGCGACUUCCUGGACCAGUACCGACGUUCAGGCACGAAAGCGUGGGGAGCAAACAGG